GGUGAAGGUGUUGCCUGCAAUGCUGGAAUCCCACACGGGUGCUGAAUCAUCUCCCGGCCCCUCCGCUUCUGCCCCAGCUCCCUGCUGACGGCCUGGGAAAGCAGCAGAGGACGGCCCAGGUGUCUGGGCCCCUGCACCCACGUGGGAGACUCCGAUGGAGCUCCAGGCUCCUGGCUUCAGCCUGGCCCAGCCCUGGCUGUUUUGGCCAUCUGAGGAAUGGAUCUGGGGCUGGAAGAUCUGUCUCUCUCUGUCUCUCUGACACUGACUUUCAAAUAAAAUUAUGAAAAGACUACGCCCCUCUCAUCCCCUUGGACUUGGUGUAGUGUGGUAUUAACGUGGUUUACGAAUUCAUGUCAUCAAUGUUUAAUGAGAUUAUGCAGGUGCCUGGCAAACCAUCCAGUGAAACUCAAGUCUUUCUUUACUCCUGUGUCCCAGCUGCUGGUUCCCUCCUUAGAGAAAGCUGUUCCUUGCAUUUUCUGCAGAGAGAUUCUCUGUAGAUACAAGCAUAUUUCAGAACGUGCCUUUUGCUUUUACAACUGAUGCUGGCGUGCUAAAAAAAAAGGAGAUGUGUAUGUCCACACCCAGACACCUUCCAUGCACAGAUACUCAUGGGUCUGGAGGGGGUUCCCCAUGUCCGGGUGAUUGACCUCACUCUGAAUGCAGCAGAGUCCUUGUCACACUGCAAGGGGCUGCCUGGUGGCCCCUCUGCUUUUCAUUUUCAGGACUGUUUUAUGAUACAGACCAUAAUGGUACACACCACACAAAUGCAUGGACACAUCUUCCUCAGAGCAGGGUCAGCCAUUGUUUUUUAUUUCAUUUAUUUGAAAGGCAGAAAAGAGAGAGAGAGAGAGAUAGAUUAUCCAUCUGCUAGUUUACCCCCCAAAUGCUUGUGAUAGCCAUGGCUGGACCUGGCAGAAGCCAGGAGCCAGGAGCCUCAUCCGGGUCUCCCUUGUUGGUGGCAGGGAUCCAAGUUCUUGGGCCAUCACCUGUGGCGUCCCAGGUGCAUUAGCAGAAAGCUAGAUUGGAAUUGGAGGCGGGACUGGAUUCCAGGCCCUCAGACAUGGGCUGUGGGUGUAGCAAGCAGCAGGCUAGUUGCCCCCUGCACCCCACGCUUGUCCCUGGGGCUGGGCUUUUCCUGGGCUGCAGGUGUCGGUGGUGGUGGAAGUGUGGCGUGCCCUCCCAGAGUCUCGGGCUCAUUCAGGACCUCCAGCUGUCCCCUAGGAGCCAGCGCUCCUGCUCCUCCCACCCCUGACCACUGCCUUCCACGCCUCUUCCUGCCUCAGGCCUUUGCACGGGCUGCCCUGCCUGCUCCAUCCUCUCACACAGCUCAUGCCUCCUCCUGCAGCCGCCUCCUGCAGCCGUGCGCCUGACACUAGACUUCCCACGCGUCACAGUCUUGCAUAGUUUAUUACGUUUGUUGUUCAAAGUGUCCCCAGGACGGUAACGAUGCUCUUUGAGUAUCAGACCUCGUGGGGUCUUACUCCCUGCUGCCCUCUUGCUGCCUAGAGCACUGGUUUUGCCUAGUAAAUAACUUUGCUAAUGAAGUAAAUAUUUCACACCGACAGUUUCGCCACAAACCUCCGUGUCUACACUGCACGCUGACUCGUGUCCUCUGUUGUUAUUUUAUGUGAAGGGCAGAGUUGGCUGGCGGGAGAGAUCCCUCAGUUCUCGCUCUCUCACUUGCUUGCUUCGCUAGCUCCGCUCGUGUGAAGAUGCUGGAUUUGAAGACCGAGGCUGGAAACCACCCCGGGCCUCACUUUCCAACCCAAAGUCAGAGUGACAGCGGUGCUCUCUGAGUUGUCGUGAGGUCAGCAGAGCCUGGCCGUGCCCCGGCACAAGGCGGAACCCCUUUGCAGGCUGCUUGCCUUUCUGGGUGGGCAGACGCCGACUGAUCCGGCCAGUCCUGGCCUGCACGGGUGUGUGGCGUGAGCUCCUUCCGAGACAGAGACGGUGGCUUCCUGCCAACCCAGGAAGUGAGGGGCUGCGAGUGUGCCCCAGGCUGUCCUCAACCCUGGCCCGUGGUGUGGCCUGGCCCUCUGGCUCAUCCCACUCCUAUGGGACCAGCUGGUUGCCUGGCUCAUUGGCAGGGUCCCUGUGGUCUAGAUUUGGUGGCCUCAGGAGUCAGGCCCAGGAAGGACUCUUCAGGUCGUCAUCAGAGUUGGGUCUGAGGCAGAGCUGGCCACUGUGCCUGUGUGUGUGUGUGUGUGUGUGCACCACGACGUUUCCAGUAGGCCCUGGGUGGUGGCGGAAUGGAUGCAGGACAAGAAUGGGCUGCACUGGUGCUGUGGGCCGUGGUGGCCUGUGUGUGUGGACACUGACCUCUAAACGUGGUCUGUUCAGCACCUUACAUGCAGCUGGGGACUCGGGGUCUGGGCUGGCCCCCUGGUGAGAGAGGACUCGGAGGCAGAGCUGCUGUGGACAUAGGGAGUGUUGGCUUUUAGGGGACAGCUCCGGCAUGCCCUGCCAUGAGGGCUCUGGGUGGCCCGUGUGGAAACCUUGGCCGGCUGGCACCGUGGCUGCACCUGGCCCCCAUGCCAGCCCAGGCUGCACCGUUCAAACCCUUUCUCUGUCUCUCUCUCUUUGUUUAUAGAUUUAUUUGUUUAUUUGAAAGAGUUAGAGGCAGAGAGAGAGCUCUUCCAUGUGCUGGUUCACUCCCCAGAUGGCUGCAAUGGCCAGGGCUGGGCCAGGCUGACCAGGAGACUCAUGCAGGUCUCCCACAGGGGUGCAGAGGCCCAGGCAGUUGGGCCAUCUUCUGCUGAUUUCCCAGGUCACUAGCAGGGAGCUGGAAACACCACAGCUCUGGCCCCCAACCCAUUCUCCGUGGGCCACCCCAGGCCACCUCCCAUGCACCAAUGAGCCAGCUCCCUUCCAUGGCACAGAAACCCCCGAUCCCAUAAUUCUGCAGUGUUAGAAUCCAGCUGCAGGAUGUGCCCUGCCACCUUUCAGUCAUGACAGUCUCAUUAUAAAGGUACCACGGCUGGCGCUUCCACUCCCAUCAUGCACCGGGGCCACCACACUUCCUGCAUUUCCAAAACAGGGAAAGGAAAUGGCCCCACCUCGUUUGAAUAUCCAGUUAAGCUCUGUGACACCACGCCCCGUGCCUCCCGAGAGUAUAAAGGGGUGGCUGGAAACUUGCUUUGAGGUGUUUUGGCUUUUUGCUCACUCUCGCCCGCGCCUCUCUGUGGCUUCCCUGCACAUCCUGAGGCCUCCAUCUUGACUGCUCUGCGCAUGCGUAGGGGGAACCCCUGGCUUCUGCCCAGCUAGGGGUCCUGCUGCCCACUGCAGAAUGACGUGGACAAUGGAGAAGGAACCGGCAGGCCAGACUGGAGAGGGAGGCCGGGGUCUUCUGCAGGGCCUCUCAGCUUCACGCAGAAGCUAGGAUCCACCUUGUGCCUGGGGAUGUGGAUGGCGACCUCUGCACUCAGAAGUAGAGAGAAGAUGGCAACACGAGAAGGGUGAGAGGCGACUGUGGAUUCCAUCUCCAUUUCUGCCAGUGGCCUCCAUCAGCUUCCAAGGAACGCCCAGAACCUUUGCAGGGUGCAAUGGUGUGUGCACGCUGAGUCGGGGGUCCGGCUGCAGCCUCGCCUUUCCCUGGGCUGUGCCUUCUCCAGGUGACCCAGCGAGCGGAGGAUUCUCUGCCCCCUCACGUUUUGUGGAAAAACUGUAAACUGCACAGUGCUUUGGGAGCACAGGGCGCGGUGUGCAGAGCCGGAGAGAUGGGGUUCUCAUGAUGAGCAUGAGGGACUGAAGUCAGAUGUGACCCACAGGAUGUGCACUGAAGCCCGGGCGUGUACCCCAUCCAGGUGUCGAUGAAUCUGGACACCAGACCGAGCGUGAUUGCUGUCCGCGUGGGAGAGAACGCUGUAACGGGCGAGUGAGCCGUCUCUAAGUAAGGUCCACGAGAGAGAGUUCUGUUGGGAGAGGAAGUGACGCUGGACUCGGGCCUCUGGGUGCUGGACAGAAAGGGCCUCUCCAGCCCUGGGCCCCCGGGGAUGCGGGCAGCCUGCACCGCCGGACAUUCGCUGGUUUUGCAGCAGCCGCCUGCCCCACACAGCUAAUGACCGCGAUAAGCAGAAAGUUCCUGGGUCUGUGGGAGCUGUGGAACCGCCAGCCGACGUCAGGAGUCUGAACAGGUGCGAGAUCAGAUGCCGCUGAGCGUGACGGGGGUGGCUGCGCGGGGCUCGUCUCAGCCGCCGUGAAAGCCGCAGAAACGAAACCAGAAAUUAUUCUGGCAAACAGUUCCUGUGCUUUCCCGGGCAUUCGCUUUCCUUGCCUGGGUAGCUGGUACGUCUGCUAGGAACGUCUCUUCCCUCCCGGAAUCAGGUUCACUGUGAACGACAUCUUGGGGGGCUCAGCCGCCCACCUGGGGGUCUCGGCGCCAUCACCCCAGGGUUGGUGGUCGGGGCCCCUCUCAGCUUGUGGCAACCUACACCCUCGUGAUCCGUGGUGGCCACUAGAAAGCUCCCACUCGUGCUUUUCGUGACAACCUCGUCCCCACUGCUCCCCUGGGGACCCGAUCGGACUGUUUCUCUCCGGCCGUUGUUGGCAUCUGAUGCCCCCUUCUCAGCCGGGGGUGAGGUGGUCCCACGCCUGGCCCGUGUGUGACUGAAGCUGCGGAUGGCCCUCCCUCGUGCAGUGGCUGGGGUGGGCGAAGCAAGGCUGCUUUUGGGUCUGGGUGUCCUCCGUGGAUUAUUGUGUCCAGAACCUGCAUCUUGGACAGGUGCCAAGGACUGGUGGGGGGACACAGUUUACAGGAAACCCUCUCUUGCUGUGGGAGCUCAUGUUUAGCUCCAUGGUGUGCAGGGCUCACUGCCGGCAGCCCUCAUGCCAUCAGCGCUGGCCUGACCAAGGCAGGUUCCAGGGGUGAGUGUCAGCUCCUGGGUCUCAAUUCAGGCUACAUAAAUUCACACCAAAAAGGGGAACUGAUCCAACGGAUGCUAAAUGUCCACCUAUGCCGCGGCAGCUGACUGCGUGAGAUGGGGUACUGUCUGGAACAGCUGCAUCCAGGGGCCGUCUUGUGGGCACUCUGUGACAUGUUCGUGGCCCCUCUCGUGGGCAGCACCCCACGUGUGUUUCUCCAGGAGGACCCGUCUCCUCGGCUGAGCCUGUGCACAGCUGGCUUGUGACGGAGGGGAGAAGGAGGAGGGCUCUCAGGGGUGGAUGGCGGGUCCUGGAUGACCGUGUUCUGUGCUGUGGAGGAACAGGCGGGCAGGGGCAGGUGAGCAAGCUCUUAGGUCAGCUGUCUCGGAGGGGCCGGGGGAGAGGUCCUGGCGGCUCCCUCUGAAACACUUCACCUGCUCAGGGAGCCUGGACACCUUCCAAAGGAGACUGAAGUUUUAAAAUGUAAAUGUUGGUUGUGGUGACACACUGACCGGUGUGCUUAGGGAACUAAAACACGUCACUGCUUAGGAGAAAUGAGUCACAGCUGACUGCUUUUGUAAAAAAUGUACGUGGGAGCCCGCACUGUGGCGUAGUGGGAUAAACCUCCAGCUGUGGUGCUGGCAUCCCAUAUGGGCGCUGUUUCGAGUCCCGGCUGCUCCUCUUCUGAUCCAGCUCUCUGCUAUGACCUGAGAAAGCAUUGGAAGAUGGCCCAAGUGCUUGGACCUCUGUACCCAUUUGGGAAACUCGGAAGAAACUCCUGGCUUUGGAUCAGCCCAGCUCCAGCCAUUGUAGCCAUUUGAGGAGUGAACCAGCAGAUGGAAGACCUUUCUCUCUAUCUCUGUCUCUCUCGCUCUGUAACUCUGCUUCUCAAAUAAAUAAAUAAGAUCUUAAAAAAUAUAUUUGGGCCAGUGCCGCGGCUCAAUAGGCUAAUCCUCCGCCUAGCGGCGCCAGCACACUGGGUUCUAGUCCCGGUCGGGGCACCGGAUUCUGUCCCGGUUGCCCCUCUUCCAGGCCAGCUCUCUGCUGUGGCCAGGGAGUGCAGUGGAGGAUGGCCCAAGUGCUUGGGCCCUGCACCCCAUGGGAGACCAGGAGAAGCACCUGGCUCCUGCCUUCGGAUCAGCGCGGUGCGCCGUCUGCAGCGGCCAUUGGAGGGUGAACCAACGGUAAAGGAAGACCUUUCUCUCUGUCUCUCUCUCUCACUGUCCACUCUGCCUGUUAAAUAUAUAUAUAUAUAUAAUUUGAAGGGCAGAUACACACACACACACACAGAGGGAGACAGAGAGACAGAAAGUGCUCGUCUCUCCGUGGGUUCACUCCCCCUUGCCUGCAGCAGCCACAGCUAAGUCAAGCCAGAGCCGGCAGUGGGAGCUCUACCCAGGUCUCCCCCGUGGGUGGCAGGGAUGCGAGUACUGAACCUGCUGCCCCCCAGGCCGUAUGUUAGCAGGGAGCUGGAAUUGGAGUGAGCCAAGACUCCACCCUAGGUGCUCCAUGACUGGCUGUGGGUGUCCCAGGGAACGUCCAGGGACGCUCUGGGAGUCUGAAGCAGGCGGGGCUCCCCAAAAGGGGGAUGGGGGAGGGGCAGCCUCACCUUGGAAGCCAUGGCGGUGACAGACACACUUACUGGCGGCCGUGUGCCCAGCCCCAGCACAGCCCCGUCGGGCUUCUACACUCCCGUUUCGCCGACCAGGAAGCUCAGGCCUAGAUGCCUGCAGACUCCGGGAAGAGCACAGGUAGGGUGGUUACAGGGACAAGGGUGUCCACGUAGGGGCAAUGGGAGGCUGUCAGUGCUUGGUGGGGUCGGAGUGAAGGAAGCGAGGCGUCUGUGCAGCCCGUGUUCUGGCGCUGCUGACCAGGGCGGAGGAUACGGUCUGCUUUUCCUGACUGCAGCCAGAGGUCGGCUCCCAGGUCUGCUCUCCAGUCCUUUGGGCACCUGGCUGCCCCUGCUCCUCCCUGGCUGUGCCCUCUCCCCGGUGUGCGCCCUCGGUGGGUAAGUGGUCCUCACUUCAUCCGCUGCCUGCUCGCUUGCUGGGCUCUGAGUUCCCAGGGCAGGGACUCUGGUCUCCUCGGAGCCUGUGGUGAAGUAGGACUACACACCCUCUCUCUGAUACGUAGAUAGGGUCACGUCCUGCCCGCGUGCGUAUAUAUCCACGCACACAGAGGUCUUCAACAGGUGCGUGAAAAAUGCACUGUGCAAUGGACUUCAAAUAUUUUUUGCAUUAAAAUAAACUUAGAUUUUACUUCCAUUUUCCAUGACCUUUUUUUUAAAAAAAAAAAACCAGUUUAUUAAUUUGGAAAGCAUCGUAAAAGAGAGGAGAGACAAAGGAAGGUCUUCUGUGUGCUGAAUCACUUCUCCAAUGAAGCCAGGGGCCAGGAACUCCAUCUGCAUCUCGCAUAUGGGUGCAGGGGUCCAGGUACUCGGGCCAUCACCUGCUGCUUUCUCAGGUGGAGUAACGGGAGCUGGAUCAGAAGUGGAGCAGCCGGGACUCGAACCUGCACUCUGAUUUGGAAUGCAGGUGUCACAGGUGCUGGGUGCUACAAUACAGGCCCUCAUUUUCCUUGAACUUUCAAAGUACCCUUGUGUGUGUGUGUGUGUGUGUGUGUGCAUGAGAGAGAGAGAGAGAGAAAGAGAGAGAGAGAGAGAGAGAGGGAAAAUAUGAAGAAGGAUUCUCUCCCUAACACAUCUCUGCAUAUAUGUAUAGGUGUGUCUCUAGAGUGUUUGGUCUUGCUUUACAUGUUAUAUACAUUUAAAGUCUUUUGGAGAAUUGGGGAAAUUUCCCACCAGUGAUAACUGGAUGGUUUACUGUGCCAGUUAUCCGUAUCUCCAGGUGGGCGCUUGGAGAAGAGGGAGGGGAAAUAAGGAGGUUUGCACCCAGGAGCCCUGAAGGGCUCAGGAAGCCUGGGCAGGCCUGUGCUUGUCUGGCUCUUUCCGCAGGGGACUUGACGAAGGGCCCUGGCCCAGGUGCGGAGGGCGGGGCUGAAAAUCCAAGAGCUUUGCAGGUGGGAACUGGAGCAGCACUGACACCGGCGCUGGUGCCAGGGACGUCAGCCCCACCCCCAAGCCUCCCCAGACUGGAGGGAGACAGAGGAAGACACGCACCGCCUGGUGCACACAAAUGGAGAUCUUUGAUGGGGAGAGAAUGAGGGGGGUGGGAUUAGAACGGCAGGAAGGGGCUUUCAGGCCCAGUAAGCUCCACACCUGGGUGAGUUUUUUAAAAUCUGUUUUUUAUUUAUUUGAGAGGCAGAGUGACAGAAAGAGGUAGAGACAGAGAGUCUUCCAUCUGCCGGCUCAGAUGGCCGCAGUGGCCAGGGCUGGGCCAGACUGAAGCCAGGAAUUUCUUCCUGGUCCUGCGCUUGGGUGCAGGGGCCCAAACGCCUGGGCCGUCUUCCUCUGCUUUCCCCGGUAUUAGCGGGGAGCUGGAUCAGAAGCAAAGUGGCCCGACUUGAAUCAGUACCCAUGUGGGAUGCCAGUGCUGCAGGCAGGGACUUAACCCACUGUGCUACAGAGCUGCCCCAUUGCUAGUUUUCUGAGGAACCUGCGAACUGUUUUCCAUAAUGGUUGUACCGAUCGUGUUCCCACCAGCAGUGGGUUAGGGUACCGUUUUCUGUACAGCCUUGCCAGCAGGUGUUAUGUGGUGGUUCGGGAUGGCAGCCAUUCUGACUGGAGUGACGUGAAACCUCAUUGUGGUUUGCAUUUGCAUUUGCUGGAGGGCUGGUGGUCCUGAGCAUUUUCUUCAUGUUUCUGUUGGGCGUUUGCAUUUCAUCCUUUGAAAGAACAUCUGUUCGUAUCCUUUGCUCGUUUGUUAGCUAGAUUGUUUGCUUUGCUGUGGUUGAGUUUCUUGAGCUGCCUGAAUAUCCUGGAUAUGAACCCUGGAUCAGAUGUAGAGUAUUCCAUUCUGUCGGUUGUCUUUGUUUCCUUUGCUGUGCAGAGCUUCCUAGCUUGAUGCAGUCCCUUUCGUCUCCCUUUGCUUUGAUUGCCUGUGCUGCUGGGGCCCUAUCCAGGACGUCUUUGCUGAGGCCAGUGUCUUCCAGGUUUCUCCUGUAGGAGUUUUGUGGCUUCAGGUCUGAGGUUUAGAUCCUGCAUCCAUUUUUCAACUUUGAAAAAAAAAAAAAAAGGAGAACUUUUUGACCUUAGAUUACCUGGAAAAUGUCUUGAAAUAUCACACAGGCAAUAAAUGUUUUCUUGACUGAAUAAUGUAACGUCAAGAGACUGGAUUUAUAAAGCUACGUCCUGUUUUAGGAAAUGUUUGUAGGUAAAACCAGGAAUUUAUAUAUCUGAGCACAUGUCAAGAAUGUGUUUAUUUGCUUUAAAGAGAAUUCUUCGCUGUAACGAAAGUUUUACAAGAGAAGGUUUAGCACAGGUUACUUGGAAACAAAUGAACCCUUCGAAGGCCUCAAAUGGGAACCGUGGCUGCCGUCACAAAAUCGCAUUACACACGACUCCGGAGUCACGGGUAUCCCAGUGCAGGGAGCCGCAAGCUACACCUGCCACCAGGUCUGACGCUAACAGCUGACAGAACUGGGACGGCGGUUUGGUGUGGGCUGAAACCCUAAAACCACCCCGACCGUGGCUGCCUAGGUCGUGUAGGGUGGCCCAGGUCUUGCCUCUGGGCCACAGCCCAGCAGGCUGACUGGGGAUUCAGACAGGAUGAUGUCUGCCUGCUGUGUCGGUCUUCACCUGUGUGGAUGGGGUGGUAUCUGUGUUGGGUUUACAUGCCAAACAUACAGAAAUGCUUGCUUUUGUUUUAAAAAAUUAUUUGAAAGAGAGAAAUAGAAAGAGAGGGUGGAUCUUUGAUCUACUGGCUCAUUCCCCAAAUGCCUGCCAUGACCAGGUGUGGGCCAGGCUCAAGUCAGGAGUCAGGAGCUCCAUCUGGGUGGGCCAUCGUCCACUGCCUCCCAGGGUGUGCACUAGCAGGAGCCUGGAGUGGAAAGCAGAGGCAGGACUCCAGCCCAGGCUCUCCGAUGUAGGAUGUGGGCGUCCCAGGCAGGACUCCAGCCCAGGCUCUCCGAUGUAGGAUGUGGGCGUCCCAGGCAGCAGCCUAACGGCUGCACCAAGCACGCACCCCCUCGCAAGGUCGUUAGGUCAGAUAACUGGGUGUCCGGAGGCACAGCCGCUCAAGGUAGGUGAGCAGCCGAGCCUCACCUGGCUGACGUUUUCCCAUGGUCACUCACAGGUGAGAGGGUACUGAGUACUGUUGGGUCUCCACGGUGGCUGGGGGUUGGUGGUGGGGUUCCCCCUCGGACACACUCUCCAGUGCUGGACCUCCUUCCUAGUGCAGGGGUCCUGGCCCUGCCCCGUGAUUGUCAAGCCCUCUGCUCCCUGGCUUGCUCCUUUGUUCUAUUCGGGGAUGGCUGGGCCAUAUAAAAUAUAUCGCACAGCUGGGCGCUAGCUGCGCUCCUGUGAUACAGAAAAUGGAGCCCAGAUAAAAACUCUCAAGGUAUGAAAUGUCUGAAUGGAAGAAGACCCUCUCCCAGCCUCUCAGGGCCCCAGUAAGGCCAUAAAAACCAGUGCAGGCGAGCUCUCUCGGGCAGUUUUGGGAUCUGCCAUCCCCGGAGCUCCUGAUGCGUUUACAUAAUUGCACAAAUUAGAGAGCCUCGAAUGAAAGGUUGCCUGGUGAUUUUUCUCUGACCUUUCAUUUGCUGGUUACAAAAUUACAAGUGCCCCCACAGAGCACAGUCUCUCCUCCCCCAGGCUUGCCCACUGAACAGCGCCUGCUCCCUUUGCAAAUGGAGGCCCCGGAGCACCUGCUGGCAGGGCCAGGCUCCGGAGGCCACAGCCAGACUAGAGCCCUGCCCUUGACAGCACGGGUGGCUCAGGGAACACAAGCCGUGCACCUCCCCACGCCUCCACCCACAUCGCCAGGGUCUACAGAGUGAGGGCCCGGGGGCAGGUGGAAUCUCACCUUUAUUGUGUAGCUUCUCUUUCCUACCUUUGUUUAGAAACCAUCCUUUUUUUAAAAUUUAUUUAUGUGAGAGGCAGAGUUACAGACAGGGAGAGGGAGAGACCAAGAGAGAGGUCCUUCAUCCACUGGUUUACCCCCUAAAUGGCUAGAACUGGCCUGACCCAAAGCCAGGAACCAGGAGCUUCUCCCCGGUCUCCCACACCAGUGCAGGGACCCAACCACUUGGGCCAUCUUCAACUGCUUUCCCAAGCCACUAUCAGGGAGCUAAAUCAAAAGUGGAACAGCCAGGACUCAAACCAGGCAGAGGCUUAAUAUGCUAUACCACAGCGCCAGCCCCCUGAAACCAAACUUUUAAAAGUUGUACCAGGUUAACUUCGCUUGAAGUGAUUUGCUGGAAGCACCUUCUGCAGAUUGAAAGCAAGAAAUCAGGUAAUUUUUAAAACAGAUUUAUUUAUUUGAAAGGCAGAUUAACAGAGAGAGAGAGAUAUCCAUCUUCCAUUUGCUGGUUCAGUCCCCAAGGGGCCACACAAUGUCAGGGCCGGGCCAGGCAGAAGCCAGGAGCUCCACCCAGGUCUCCCUUGUGGGUGGCAGGGGCCCAAGCGCUUGGGCCAUCUUUCUCUGCUUUUCCCAGCAGGGAGCUGGACCGGAAGUGGCACAGCCAGGACACAAACCCGUGCUCCGGUGUAGGCUGCUGGAUCUGCGGUGCCUCACAUCAGCCCCAAAGCGGUUAGGUUUGAGCGUUGUUAGAGUAGCUUAUGUAACUCACGGAGAGACUUGACUGUGUUUGAGGAAGAGCUUAUUUCUUCUUUCCGAGGGGUUGGCUGUUUUAGCAGAAAGAGAACUAGGCUGCGAGCCACAGGCCCGGGUUCAGCUGCCGUCACCCGGCUGAGUGCCUGGAGCUAGCCUUUGCUCCUGUGUGGCUUUCCCAGGCGUGCGAUCAUGAACAUGACGCCUGCCCCACUUCUCAUGUGGCCACUGUUAGGAUCAAGUAGCACUGCUUCGUGCUGAUUAUGAAAGAAUCAGACAUUAACCCAGAAGGUGAGAUCCUGUGAUACCUGGCAGGUGCUGGGUGACCAGGUCAGUUUGUCCGUGGGACCUGGUUUGGUUGUUGGGUGGUAGCUGUUGGUGGGGAAGUGUGUCAUUGUCCUGAUGAUGUCACACUUGCUGUGUGACCCAUGGCUUCUGUGUGAAGCCACACUGAUGGCUGUCCAGGGAAUCCUGUUGAUGCUGAAUGGGAGGCUGGAGGGAGGUCAGGAAUGGCUGGGGGUCAUUACCAGCCCCCCUUUCCUGAAGCCCGUCAGUUCUCAGCCUCUGGCUGAUGCUCACUGGCCACUGGGCAGCUAAGUGGCCAGUGAUGGUGCUGCAGGGGGAGGGGCGCACGCUGCUCCUUGGGGCAGAAGACCCGCCUUUCAGGGAACGAGAGCAGGACUCUGCUCCACAGAGAAUGGUCAUCGGUGGCUUCAUUUCAGAUGCUGGACAGUGGUGGUGGCCAGAGGACAGGAGGCUCCCAGGACUCCCCACCACCCUGUGCCCCCCCCCACUCCAUGGGCAUGUGAUGACCCUGCAGGAAGGCCGUCACAUCCCUUAGGGAGUCCAAUCAGAACCCAGGCGCUUCUGGUAGAGAGAC